AAAGAAAUAUCUACUUAAGUGCUUCCAAAACACACACAAUAUGAAAGCGGAGAGUAUUUGAUUAUUUGUUCAGGGAAAUGGAGUCCUAUUUCUUAUUACCAUUUAUCGUCAGUAGUUCUUUGAUUUCAAGAGGCUUAUCGACUUUACGUUGAAAGAGAGAAACAAUUGCAUAAACAGAUGCCUGAUACUCUUGCCUACCACAAAGCUGAAUUGGCACUGCAUCCUUAAGGUCCUUCGUGUUGCACAUGGAAAUCCACACAAAAUUCAUUCAGCAGAUGAUAAGUCCAAAAUAGCAAAAAGUGGAUUUGCGUGUCUGUGCUUCCUCCCUGGGGAGACCACUGAUUUGUUUGCCAGGGGAUUAACCAAGAUUGGAGGCAGAUUAAACCUGGAGACACU